rnacentral:rRNA from 1 species
GACGGGAACCCGCACAAGCGGUGGAGUAUGUUGUUUAAUUCGAAGAUACACGAAGAACCUUACCAGGUCUUGACAUACCAUUGACAGGUGUAGAGAUACACUCUCCUUCGGGCAAUGGAUACAGGUGGUGCAUGGUUGUCGUCAGCUCGUGCCGUGAGAUGUUGGGUUAAGUCCCGCAACGAGCGCAACCCUUACGGUUAGUUGCUACGAAAGAGCACUCUAGCCGGACUGCCGUUGACAAAACGGAGGAAGGCGGGGACGACGUCAAAUCAUCAUGCCCCUUACGUUCCGGGCUGCACACGUACUACAAUGGCGCAAACAAAGGGAAGCGAGAUCGCGAGAUGGAGCAAACCCCGUAAAAGGCGUCCCAGUUCGGACUGCAGGCUGCAACCCGCCUGCACGAAGUUGGAAUUGCUAGUAAUCGCGGAUCAGCAUGCCGCGGUGAAUACGUUCCCGGGCUUU